rnacentral:lncRNA from 10 species
CGGCACCCGGGUCUCCCGACCCAAGCCUGCUGGGCCUCGACGAAACCCCCGCAGAGCCGCCAGGACGCAGCGCCUUUGGGCGGCGCCGGGCGUGGUGGGCCGGGAAGUAUGGCGGCCGCUCGAACGCCGCGCGGCGGAGGCCAUUAAGGCGUGGACGGCCCGGAAGGCGGCCUAGGGACGCAAGCAGGCUUGGCCGCCUCUUUCGGCCACGGAGCCGCGCAGAUCCGGUUCCCGGGUGACCACUCUGUCGCCAUUGGGCGAGACCUACCUAGUCCUGACGACAACGGACAAAGGCCUUAAGGGGCCUGAAAGCAACCUCCAGUCCUGCAAGCUUCAUUCCUGAAUGGUAGAAAGCAGUCUUCAGCCUGAGACCCAUCCCUAGACUCUAUGGCACAAAGAGGCACUACAGAAAAUCCCAGAAUUUAUUCUGACUGAAGCAAUAUGCAACUGGCAAAACUGGCAGCUGAAAGGAUCCUGAAUAAGAAGAGGUUCCAGCCACAACGCACCAUCUUAGAAGAAGAGACACCAACUCUUUCCAGACGCUAAACCUGCCAGCACCUUGAUCUUGGACUUCCCAGUCUCCAGAACUGUG